UACGAAGGGGCUAGCGUUGCUCGGAAUCACUGGGCGUAAAGGGUGCGUAGGCGGGUCUUUAAGUCAGGGGUGAAUCCUGGAGCUCAACUCCAGAACUGCCUUUGAUACUGAAGAUCUUGAGUUCGGGAGAGGUGAGUGGAACUGCGAGUGUAGAGGUGAAAUUCGUAGAUAUUCGCAAGAACACCAGUGGCGAAGGCGGCUCACUGGCCCGAUACUGACGCUGAGGCACGAAGCGUGGGA
rnacentral:rRNA from 1 species